rnacentral:rRNA from 1 species
UGGGGAAUCUUACGCAAUGGGCGAAAGCCUGACGCAGCAACGCCGCGUGAGCGAAGACGGCCUUCGGGUUGUAAAGCUCUGUCAGGAGGGACGAAGCCACUCAGGUGAAUAGCCGAGAGGGUGACGGUACCUCCAGAGGAAGCCCCGGCUAACUACGUGCCAGCAGCCGCGGUAAUACGUAGGGGGCAAGCGUUGUCCGGAAUCAUUGGGCGUAAAGCGCGUGUAGGCGGCCAUCCAAGUCUGGUGUGAAAGCUCGGGGCUCAACCCCGAGUCUGCACUGGAAACUGAAUGGCUUGAGUCCGGAAGAGGAGACUGGAAUUCCUGGUGUAGCGGUGAAAUGCGCAGAUAUCAGGAAGAACACCGGUGGCGAAGGCGGGUCUCUGGGACGGUACUGACGCUGAGACGCGAAAGCGUGGGGAGCAAACA